rnacentral:rRNA from 1 species
GAUGAACGCUGGCGGCGUGCCUAAUACAUGCAAGUCGAACGGACAGACGAUGAUCUUGCUCCUCUCACGUUAGCCGCGCACGGGUGAGUAACGCGUGUAUAACCUCCCUAUAAGACUGGGAUAACUUCGGAAAACCGGAGCUAAUACCGUAUAAUAUAUUGAACCGCAUGGUUCAAUAGUGAAAGACGGUUUUGCUGUAACUUAUAGAUGGAUACGCGCCGCAUUAGCUAGUUGGUGAGUUAACAGCUUACCAAGGGAACGGUGCGUAGCCGACCAGGGAGGGGAAUGGGACCCAGCGUGAGUGAGACACGGUCCAGACUCGUACGGGAGGCCGCAGCAGGGAAUUUCGCGCAACGGGAGAAAGGAUGAUGGAACAACGCGCCGUAGGUGAUGAAGGCAUUGGGGUCGGAGAGAUGUGUUACUAGGGAAGAAAAAAUGUGUAAGUAACUAUGGAAGUCUUGGCGGUACUUAAUCAGAAAGCAACGGCUAACUACGUG